UACAGAGGGUGCAAGCGUUGUUCGGAAUUAUUGGGCGUAAAGCGCGUGUAGGCGGCUUUGCAAGUCGGGUGUGAAAGCCCUCAGCUCAACUGAGGAAGUGCGCCCGAAACUGCAGAGCUUGAGUACCGGAGAGGAUGGCGGAAUUCCCCAAGUAGAGGUGAAAUUCGUAGAUAUGGGGAGGAACACCGGUGGCGAAGGCGGCCAUCUGGACGGUCACUGACGCUGAGACGCGAAAGCGUGGGUAGAAAACAGG
rnacentral:rRNA from 1 species